rnacentral:snRNA from 1 species
CCCACCAAUAGGGAACGUGAGCU